GAAUUCCAAUUCCAACUGUCUACAACAUCUUGGCUAAGUUAAAGUAUCCCUGUAAGAAGACUAAUAGGGAGAUGACUCUUUAUCCCAAGCAAGAGGUCUCUUUCCCCUGCUACCCUGAGAAGAAUCUCCAGGAGUAUAUCCCAGACCAAAAAGGAAGAUGGUUUUCCCAUACUCUUACUGGAUACUGUAACAGCUGCAGAGGACGUGUUGAACCCGCAGUUCAUGAUGGCAUGAAUUCCAAUUCCAACUGUCUACAACAUCUUGGCUAAGUUAAAGUAUCCCUGUAAGAAGACUAAUAGGGAGAUGACUCUUUAUCCCAAGCAAGAGGUCUCUUUCCCCUGCUACCCUGAGAAGAAUCUCCAGGAGUAUAUCCCAGACCAAAAAGGAAGAUGGUUUUCCCAUACUCUUACUGGAUACUGUAACAGCUGCAGAGGACGUGUUGAACCCGCAGUUCAUGAUGGCAGAAGUAGCAACACUAGAGGAGCUUAGAUAAACCAAUGCAGGAGUGGAGGAACAACAGAUGGUCACUCCAGGAUCCCCCACCAGUGACUGAGACACUGACUGGGCCUUCACUGGCUGCAAGGGCUUACUUUUAGUAAGUUUUUUCUUGUUAGGUACAGUGGUAAAAGCAAAAUAGUGGUAACACAAAUGCAACAGAAAAACCACUUGUCCUGAAGAAACCAGCACUCAGCGGAAGCAAUAAUCCGUCCUUUAAUUGAAAAUCACAGCUCAGAUCAGAAAUAGCAUUUAAAACCAACUAAAACUUAUUUCAUGAAUACGGAUCAAGGGCUUUCAUCCACCAGUGCUGGUUUCUUCAGGACAAGUGGUUUUUCUACAGUGGUAAAAGAACCAAUAGGACUGGGGUGAGUAUGUAUGGUGUGAUCUUGGAAGAAGCUUGAUUGUUGUUAAGCAGUGCUGGAAAGAGUCGAUCAGAAGGUAAGUCACCACCAAGUGAUCACACACAGCAAGCUCAUGCUAAGACUUCCCCAAAUAGUCCCAAAACCAAAGUAGUUGUACAAGCAAUGCAUAAAAUCUCCUGACUAACAAUAGUUCCUUUCCCUGCACUGCUCAUGUAAGUUAUCACUGAGUACAGAAGCACUACUAAAAAUGGCCAUAGUUUUAACAUUCUCCUUAAAUAAAACACAAAUACCUAAAUUCAAAUGUUGCUAAAGCAGUACACUUUUAACAUAAAAAAUGCACCCAAGAAAAUAAAUAUGCCUCUAAAGUUAGUAAAACGGUUCUUGUCAGGAAACUACAGAUACAUCAUUAAAUACCUGGUUUCUUAAAGAAAAAAUGGCACUUUUAGUCAAAAAUUAGAAAAAAAAUAUGUUCUAAUCUUAAAAAUGGAAAUGAAUUAUAAAUGGAAUGGUUUUCCAAAGGGGAACUUAUCUGACAUAAAUGAAGGUAUAGAUUGCUUGCAGUUCCUUAUUUACUUCCUAGAGGCAAUAAGAAAGUACCAAAGGCACUUCUUUCUAGCUGCUGUUUAUCAGAUUAGUGCUGGCUAAUCAGCAGUGCGAGGAAGGGACUGGGAGGGAGCCAGAGCUUUUGAAGCAGACCAUGCGCUGCUUCCUAGGCAGGAAAUAACCAGAAUAGCCAAAGCUGCUGCAGCAGUGGGAAUGAUGAACAUCUUCUCCUUUCGCUUUUUCCUCAUGUCAGGUAUAUCUACCUGUAAAUGUAAAGAUUCAUACAUGUGAAAUGAUGGCAUAUUACACACAUUCUACCUGUACCUUAGCACCACACACAUAUGUCCAGUCUUACCAAUGGCUGUGUUACAUGCCACCCAUGUUGAAGUUCAAGCUGCUUGUAUGUUGCCCAUCUUUCAGUGACAGUCAGUAUGGAAUGGUACUAGGUGUUGGACUGACACACAGUAGGAGACUGAAUUACUCUGCAAAGUACACUAUGCAGAAACUCAUGGAGCAUGUCGUGUUCUGUAAAGGACACUAUGCAGAAACUCAUGAAGCAUGUCAUGUUCUGUAAAGGACACUAUGAAGAAACUCAUGGAGCAUGUCAUGUGUUUUGUAAAGGACACUAUGCAGAAACUCAUGGAACAUACCAUGUGUUCUGUAAAGGACACCAUGCAGAAACUUGUGGAGCAUAUCAUGUGCUCUGUAAAGGACAACAUACAGAAACAAAUGGAGCAUAUCAUGUGUUCUGCAAAGGACACGAUGCAGAACCUCAUGGAGCAUAUCAUGUGUUCUGCAAAGGACACUAUGCAGAAAUUCAUGAAGCAUACCAUGUGUUCUGUAAAGGACACCAUGCAGAAACUCAUAGAGCAU